CACCGGUGUGCAGACCUCCGACACGUCCGGUGUGCUCGACGGCGAUCUCGAUGACUUCAUGGCCGCGACGCUCGCGCAGAAGGCGUUCGGCACCACGCCCGGCGCCAUCGAGGACGUGGAUUAAACGCAGAACCGGGUUGUCGCGAAACGGGUGGCUUCGCCCCGGGCCACCGCGUAUCCCUUGGCCAUGGCUGUGGUCCAAGAGCGACUUCCCGAAACCGAGCUGCGGAUGGAUGAGCGCGACUGGUCGCGGCUGAUC
rnacentral:misc_RNA from 1 species